GCGAACGCUGGCGGCAGGCCUAACACAUGCAAGUCGAACGCACCUUUCGGGGUUAGUGGCGGACGGGUGAGUAACACGUGGGAACGUGCCUUUAGGUUCGGAAUAACUCAGGGAAACUUGUGCUAAUACCGAAUGUGCCCUUCGGGGGAAAGAUUUAUCGCCUUUAGAGCGGCCCGCGUCUGAUUAGCUAGUUGGUUGAGGUAAUGGCUCACCAAGGCGACGAUCAGUAGCUGGUCUGAGAGGAUGAUCAGCCACAUUGGGACUGAGACACGGCCCAAACUCCUACGGGAGGCAGCAGUGGGGAAUCUUGCGCAAUGGGCGAAAGCCUGACGCAGCCAUGCCGCGUGAAUGAUGAAGGUCUUAGGAUUGUAAAAUUCUUUCACCGGGGACGAUAAUGACGGUACCCGGAGAAGAAGCCCCGGCUAACUUCGUG
rnacentral:rRNA from 1 species